rnacentral:rRNA from 1 species
AGUGAACGCUGGCGGUAGGCCUAACACAUGCAAGUCGAACGGCAGCACAGUAAGGGCUUGCUCUUACGGGUGGCGAGUGGCGGACGGGUGAGGAAUACAUCGGAAUCUACUUUUUCGUGGGGGAUAACGUAGGGAAACUUACGCUAAUACCGCAUACGACCUACGGGUGAAAGCAGGGGAUCUUCGGACCUUGCGCGAUUGAAUGAGCCGAUGUCGGAUUAGCUAGUUGGCGGGGUAAAGGCCCACCAAGGCGACGAUCCGUAGCUGGUCUGAGAGGAUGAUCAGACACACUGGAAGUGAGACACGGUCCAGACUCCUACGGGAGGCAGCAGUGGGGAAUAUUGGAAAAUGGGAGCAAGCCUGAUCCAGCCAUACCGCGUGGGUGAAGAAGGACUUCGGGUUGUAAAGACCUUUUGUUGGGAAAGAAAAGCAGCAGGUUAAGACCCCGCUGUUCUGACGGUACCCAAAGAAUAAGCACCGGCUAACUUCGUG